rnacentral:misc_RNA from 1 species
UUGGAACGGCGGCGGCCGGCGGACAAGCGGGCUGAAGGAGUGCGGCUUGUGGGUGACUCGGCAAGGCUACGAGCUUCAUCGAACAAGAAGACACGCGGGUCAAGGCAAUCGACAGGAUUGAGAAGGCCGACCGGCGGCAGCAGAAGAGAAGAUCAGGCGGAAGGAUUGUCUAGUCCAAUACCAAAUGAUAGGCACAGGGUUACGAGCAGAUUUGGUUUGGUAGGUUUCGAGAUGAAGACGAGGGCAAGGUCUAGCAGUGCCAACUCUAGGUGUGCUGCUGCUUACACUGCGCGGUGGUGGAGCUGGUCAUGUUGGCGGCCGUGCAAUGCAAGUGCCCGCCACGCCCGCGUCCAGGAAGGAGACAGGGUUUUGACAGGAAAGGAAGAUGUUCGUGCAAUAACAAAGGAAGCUCGAUCUGUGGUAGAACCACACACUAACAAAAUAAAAAGGAUCUUGCUGAGUACAUAUGUGAUGGGUCCGUUGGCUUUAGAGGUUUUCCUAUUUUAA